UUUUUGGUUGGGGAUGGACUCGCGGCCUAUCAGCUUGUUGGUGAGGUAAUGGCUCACCAAGGCGACGACGGGUAGCCGGCCUGAGAGGGUGACCGGCCACACUGGGACUGAGACACGGCCCAGACUCCUACGGGAGGCAGCAGUGGGGAAUAUUGCACAAUGGGCGAAAGCCUGAUGCAGCAACGCCGCGUGAGGGAUGACGGCCUUCGGGUUGUAAACCUCUUUUAGUAGGGAAGAAGCGAAAGUGACGGUACCUGCAGAAAAAGCACCGGCUAACUACGUGCCAGCAGCCGCGGUAAUACGUAGGGUGCAAGCGUUGUCCGGAAUUAUUGGGCGUAAAGAGCUCGUAGGCGGUUUGUCGCGUCUGCUGUGAAAUCCCGAGGCUCAACCUCGGGCUUGCAGUGGGUACGGGCAGACUAGAGUGCGGUAGGGGAGAUUGGAAUUCCUGGUGUAGCGGUGGAAUGCGCAGAUAUCAGGAGGAACACCGAUGGCGAAGGCAGAUCUCUGGGCCGUAACUGACGCUGAGGAGCGAAAGCGUGGGGAGCGAACAGGAUUAGAUACCCUGGUAGUCCACGCCGUAAACGUUGGGCGCU
rnacentral:rRNA from 1 species